CCUACGGGUGGCAGCAGUGGGGAAUAUUGGGCAAUGGGCGCAAGCCUGACCCAGCAACGCCGCGUGAAGGAAGAAGGCUUUCGGGUUGUAAACUUCUUUUCUGAGGGACGAAGAAAGUGACGGUACCUCAGGAAUAAGCCACGGCUAACUACGUGCCAGCAGCCGCGGUAAUACGUAGGUGGCAAGCGUUAUCCGGAUUUAUUGGGUGUAAAGGGCGUGUAGGCGGGAAAGCAAGUCAGAUGUGAAAACUCAGGGCUCAACCCUGAGCCUGCAUUGGAAACUGUUGUUCUUGAGUGAUGGAGGGGCAAGCGGAAUUCCGUGUGUAGCGGUGAAAUGCGUAGAUAUACGGAGGAACACCAGUGGCGAAGGCGGAUUACUGGACAGUAACUGACGCUGAGGCGCGAAGGCGUGGGGAGCAAACAGGAUUAGAUACCCGUGUAGUC
rnacentral:rRNA from 1 species